rfam:Mesocricetus auratus contig197561, whole genome shotgun sequence.
AGGUCUAUUAUGACAAACCUACCUCAUGAAGAGAGGUGAUGACAUAAAACUCGUGCUCAGGUUCUGGCUGCUGAGGCCC